rnacentral:rRNA from 1 species
UACAGAGGAUGCAAGCGUUACCCGGAAUGAUUGGGCGUAAAGCGUCUGUAGGUGGCUUUUUAAGUCCGCCGUCAAAUCCCAGGGCUCAACUCUGGACAGGCGGUGGAAACUACCAAGCUGGAGUACGGUAGGGGCAGAGGGAAUUUCCGGUGGAGCGGUGAAAUGCGUAGAGAUCGGGAAGAACACCAGCGGCGAAAGCACUCUGCUGGGCCGACACUGACACUGAGAGACGAAAGCUAGGGGAGCGAAUGGG